rnacentral:rRNA from 2 species
GGAUCAUUAAAGAGUUUAAUAAAACUCCUAAACCCCUGUGAACUUACUGGUGUUUGGCUCGCCAGAUAUAGUCUGGUCCGUAAGCAAAUCGACUGCCUGCCUGUGUAACAGGCAGGUAAGCUUUUGUCGCGGGGUCCCGGAUCAACCCGGGCUAGAUAGCCACUUAACUAUAUACUUUUUAUAAAAUCUGUGAACUUACUAGGUUGGAUUCUCGCCAGAGAUAGUCUGGUUUCUGCUUCGCGGAUCGCCUACCCGUGACACCUGUCACAGGCAGGUAUGCUUCUGCCGCGGGUCCGUAAGUAAAUCAUCUGUUUCGCAAGGGACGGCGAUUUACCUGUGGAAGAGGUCCGCUAACUAUAUUCUUAGUAUAGUUUGUUCACUAGAUCAAACAUUCUGAAUAAAAACUUAAACUAGUUAAAACUUUCAACAACGGAUCUCUUGGUUCUGGCAUCGAUGAAGAACGCAGCGAAAUGCGAUAAGUAAUGUGAAUUGCAGAAUUCAGUGAAUCAUCGAAUCUUUGAACGCACAUUGCGCCCAUUAGUAUUCUAGUGGGCAUGCCUGUUCGAGCGUCAUUUCAACCCUUAAGCCCCUGUUGCUUAGCGUUGGGAGCCUACAGCCUGCUGUAGCUCCUUAAAGGUAGUGGCGGAGUCGGUUCACACUCUAGACGUAGUAAAAUCUUUAUCUCGCCUAUGGAUGAGCCGGCGCCUUGCCGUAAAACCCCUAAUCUUUCACAAGGUUGACCUCGGAUCAGGUAGGAAUACCCGCUGAACUUAAGCAUAUCAAUAAGCGGAGGAAAAGAAACCAACAGGGAUUGCCCUAGUAACGGCGAGUGAAGCGGCAACAGCUCAAAUUUGAAAUCUGGCCUUCGGGUCCGAGUUGUAAUUUGCAGAGGAUGCUUUGGGCGCGGUGCCUUCCGAGUUCCCUGGAACGGGACGCCUUAGAGGGUGAGAGCCCCGUACGGUUGGACACCAAGCCUCUGUAAAGCUCCUUCGACGAGUCGAGUAGUUUGGGAAUGCUGCUCUAAAUGGGAGGUAAAUUUCUUCUAAAGCUAAAUAUUGGCCAGAGACCGAUAGCGCACAAGUAGAGUGAUCGAAAGAUGAAAAGCACUUUGAAAAGAGGGUUAAAUAGCACGUGAAAUUGUUGAAAGGGAAGCGUUUGCGACCAGACCUUUUCCCAGCGGAUCAUCCGGUGUUCUCACCGGUGCACUUCGCUGGGUUGAGGCCAGCAUCGGUUUCCGCAGGGGGAUAAAAGCCUGGGGAACGUAGCUCCCUCGGGAGUGUUAUAGCCCCUCGCAUAAUACCCUUGCGGGGACCGAGGACCGCG